rnacentral:rRNA from 1 species
GACGAACGCUGGCGGCGUGCUUAACACAUGCAAGUCGAACGGAAAGGCCCUGCUUUUGUGGGGUGCUCGAGUGGCGAACGGGUGAGUAACACGUGAGUAACCUGCCCUUGACUUUGGGAUAACUUCAGGAAACUGGGGCUAAUACCGGAUAGGAGCUCCUGCUGCAUGGUGGGGGUUGGAAAGUUUCGGCGGUUGGGGAUGGACUCGCGGCUUAUCAGCUUGUUGGUGGGGUAGUGGCUUACCAAGGCUUUGACGGGUAGCCGGCCUGAGAGGGUGACCGGCGACAUGGGGACUGAGAGACGGACCAGAAUCCUACGGGAGGCAGCAGUGGGGAGUAUUGCAGAAUGGGCGGAAGCCUGAUGCAGCAACGCCGCGUGCGGGAUGACGGCCUUCGGGUUGUAAACAGCUUUCGACUGUGACGAAGCGUGCGUGACGGUAAUGGGUAAAGAAGCACCGGCUAACUACGUG